UGGCGAACGGGUGAGUAACACGUGGGUGAUCUGCCCUGCACUUCGGGAUAAGCCUGGGAAACUGGGUCUGAUACCGGAUAGGACGAUGGUUUGGAUGCCAUUGUGGAAAGUUUUUCGGUGUGGGAUGAGCUCGCGGCCUAUCAGCUUGUUGUGGGGUAAUGGCCUACCAAGGCGUCGACGGGUAGCCGGCCUGAGAGGGCGUACGGCCACAUUGGGACUGAGAUACGGCCCAG
rnacentral:rRNA from 1 species